UCGGGCGUGGUGCACGGUGCACGGCGGCUACUAUUUCAUGAGGGAAAUGGAACAAUGGAAGCCGCAGACCGGGGUUCGCUUCCCCGCGCCCGAU